GCAGCCACCAAGGCCGUCAGACCACCACCAGCCGUGGCCACUGGUAAGGUCUCACCUCCUUCUCCUUCGUCGUCCUUAUCCCUCCUUGUUUUCUUUCUUCCUUGCAAUUUCUCUCUCCCUUAAUGUGUUGCCUUCUUGUAGCCACCACCGAGGACCAUCAGCCACCUUCGUCGUUCCCCUGCACGCUGCGCCGCACCACCCGUUGCUGCUGCCCAGUCGGCCUCCAUCCUUCUCCUCCACACACGCAAGCAACUUUUCCCUCUCUUCUGUGUUUCUUGCUCGAACACGCAACCACCAUUGCCGACCACCGCGUCGCCCAGCCCUGCCGCCGCCAGGCCCGCUGUCGUGUGUUGUUUGCCGCCGGCCAGCACUUCCUCUUCCUCUCUCUUUGGCGGAGAAUUCUCUUUAGGCGACUUCUGAAAGUGUUAAAGUGGCCUAUUAGUUUGUUUACACAAGUCUCUAAGGAUUAAUAAGCGUUGCCCAUCUACAGGUUCGAAGAUGAUGUAUCAUUGGGAUCGGG